UACGAAGGGUGCAAGCGUUACUCGGAAUUACUGGGCGUAAAGCGUGCGUAGGCGGUUCGUUAAGUCUGUCGUGAAAGCCCCGGGCUCAACCUGGGAAUGGCAAUGGAUACUGGCAGGCUAGAGUGCGGUAGAGGGUAGUGGAAUUCCCGGUGUAGCGGUGAAAUGCGUAGAGAUCGGGAGGAACACCAGUGGCGAAGGCGGCUACCUGGACCAGCACUGACACUGAGGCACGAAAGCGUGGGGAGCAAACAGG
rnacentral:rRNA from 1 species